rnacentral:rRNA from 1 species
GACGAACGCUGGCGGCGUGCUUAACACAUGCCAGUCGAACGAUGAAGAAAAGAAUCGAAGCUUCGGCAGAAAUUCAUUUCGGAUUAGUGGCCGACGGGUGAGUAACGCGUGAGCAACCUACCUCUUACAAAGGGAUAGCCUCUGGAAACCGGGAUCAAUACCAUAUAACAUUGCGACGAAGCAUUUCGAUGCAAUCAAAGCUACGGCGGGAAGAGAUGGGCGCGCGUCGCAUUAACCGGAUGGUGAGGUAACGGCUCACCAUAGUGACGAUGGGUAACCGGCCGGGGAGGGGGACCGGUCACACUGGAACUGAGACACGGUCCAGACUCCUACGGGAGGGAGCAGUGUGGAAUAUUGCACAAUGGAGGGAAAUCUGAUGCAGCGACGCCGGGUGAGUGAUGAAGGAAUUCGUUUCGUAAAACUCUGUUCUAUGGGAAGAAAAGGACUGUACCAUAGGAGAAAGCUCCGGCUAAAUACGUG